CCUUGCUCUUCCAACUGUCAUUCUGGUCCUGCCAGUCAACUUUAGAAUUCCAAAAUCCUCCAACUCCAUCUUAACAAGGGGAAGAAUAUUAUUAUUAGAAGGAGAGGAAGAGAGUGCUAAAAGUCCUAUGAUAACCCAGAUCUUCUCCAUUGUCAGAAUCAUGCCCAAAUUCAUACCUGUUGUAUUCUUCUGGAUCAGCACCUUCAGUUUGAUCUUCACAAUGAAGACCAUCAUAAGCCUCUUCCUCCUUUCCUUUGUCUUGACUGUCAACAGUCAGAAUGAAGCUAGAAAGUGGUUUGGUGAAGGUGUUAAGGAAGUGUGUUCGUUUAUCUGUGAGGUGGAUUCUGUUAAUGAUUUACCUCCUGGUGGAAAUGAUGCAACCGGUUAUAAUGGGGAUUCCACAUUUAAAAGCAACAUCCAGAAAGAUGAUGCUGCGGGCCGAUGCUUCCAUUAAUCUGUUUAGUACACAAAUGGCAGGAACCUCGACUCCUAAGUUGGCUUUGCUUCUUGAUAACUCCUCUACAUAGCUUGUGAGCUUCUCCUGGAGUAACCCUUCUUCCUUGCUCCCCCAACCCACUAUUGCAUGUGUGCAAGGUGUAGCUGCUAACAUGUUUGCAUUUAAUAAACAUCAGUGCUGAACAUAAACUUUCUUAAUC
ensembl:lncRNA